GGGCGAAAGCCUGACGGAGCAACGCCGCGUGAGUGAUGAAGGUCUUCGGAUCGUAAAACUCUGUUAUUAGGGAAGAACAAAUGUGUAAGUAACUGUGCACGUCUUGACGGUACCUAAUCAGAAAGCCACGGCUAACUACGUGCCAGCAGCCGCGGUAAUACGUAGGUGGCAAGCGUUAUCCGGAAUUAUUGGGCGUAAAGCGCGCGUAGGCGGUUUCUUAAGUCUGAUGUGAAAGCCCACGGCUCAACCGUGGAGGGUCAUUGGAAACUGGGAAACUUGAGUGCAGAAGAGGAAAGUGGAAUUCCAUGUGUAGCGGUGAAAUGCGCAGAGAUAUGGAGGAACACCAGUGGCGAAGGCGACUUUCUGGUCUGUAACUGACGCUGAUGUGCGAAAGCGUGGGGAUCAAACAGGAUUAGAUACCCCGGGUAGUCCACGCCGUAAACGAUGAGUGCUAAGUGUU
rnacentral:rRNA from 1 species